rnacentral:RNase_P_RNA from 9 species
UGAGACCUCUUGAUGGCCGCGGCCGUGAUCUUCAUUGGGAUCGGCUGAGGAACUUCCGGGCUCCAUAGAGCACGAUGGCGGAUAACGUCCGCCCAGGGUGACCUGAGAGAUAGCGCAACAGAGAACAGACCGCCCGUCCUCGACGGGUAAGGGUGAAACGGCGGUGUAAGAGACCACCGGGCCUCUGGUAACAGUAGGUCGCAUGGCAAGCCUCAUCGGGAGCAAGGCCAAGCAGAUGGCGGUAAGGGCUGCUCGCCCGUGUCAUCGGGUAGGCUGCUAGAGCCUGGCGGCAACGUCAGGUCGAGAUGGAUGGCCAUCCGUGCCGUGCGUUCGCGCACGGCACGACAGAACCCGGGGUAUAAGAGGUCUCAUUUU